GAGCAUUGCUCCAGCAACCAACCCAGAGAGACAUUAAAGAGCAGAUCUGAAGCCUCCGUCCUGUUGAGGGGAGAAAGGGGGAGCAGCUCGAGGCAGUUUUGCCCUUUAGAACAAACAGCUCUGAUCUCUGGUGUUGAUUUCUUCCCCCUCAUGGGGCUGGCAAAUGUGAUAAUCAAAAUCAGGUCACCAGAGACCAAGGCAUGGAGGAGCAGCUGCUGCGUGCGGCCGUGCACGGGGUUUCUGUGCUAGCAAUGAUUCAUUUGGUCUGGGUCAUAUGCAUGGAAAUGUGCUGCAGGAGCAUCACUGGAACCCACCAUUGUGUUCCUGGAGCCCUGACAAUGCUGCUCCUUGAUCUGUGGGCUUGACGUGGCUUUUCCCUUCUCGCUAUGGCAAACAAACACGGGCAAUCUACCUUUUCAGGCGGGCAGCAUUACUUCACUGUGCUCCGUCUGUGUGUGUGCUGCUCUCAGACUGGCAGAGCAAUACCUUCAGCACGGAAAGCAUCGACUAAGUGAAGGCUACAGCAGGGAGUUGUAUGGGAAGCAAGCAAAACCCUGCUGCAGCAGCACUGUGGCUGAACAGAUAAAGGCAGAAUGGAGAGGGUGAAGUGGGGGGACCGUUGUGGGGGUCACCUAACCUGAAGAAUCAGAGCUGAAAGGGGUUUGUACUCGAGUAGGAUGUUGGGGUUUAAUCUCCAAAGGCCUUUUGGGGAGUUCCUUCCACUCAAAAGCUGCUUUGCCCCCACCUUCUCUUUCUUGUGAUGUCCUUUGAAGUUCCCUUCAAAGAUGAAGCCAAACUUCCCGUUUCUGCUGGAGCCUGUAAUGAGGAUCCAGCUUUGUCUCAGCAAUUACUCGAACGGGAGCUCCAGGAGUAACCUUUGGAACAAAAGACUUCAAAGUGACAGCAGCCGGAGCCUCUGGCGAUAGUGAACUCCUGGUCUGCUCAGUGCAAUUCCACGUGCCUUUCCCAUGCACUUGGCUGAGUGCUCAUUGGAUCGAGUUGGCUCAACCUGAAGGGAUGCAGGUGUUGACGUGGUGCAGACUGCUCCUCGUGGGAAGGUGAAGCUGCCUGUGCUGAGCUAAGAAGUGAUGCAGGGGGGUUUGGAGGUACCUUGGUUGGUUUUCAAUGGG